rnacentral:rRNA from 1 species
UGACGUAGGGGCAAGCGUUGUCCGGAUUUAUUGGGCGUAAAGAGCGUGUAGGCGGUUUGGUAGGUCCGUUGUGAAAACUCGAGGCUCAACCUCGAGACGCCGGCGGAAACCAUCAGGCUAGAGUCCGGAAGAGGAGAGUGGAAUUCCUGGUGUAGCGGUGAAAUGCGCAGAUAUCAGGAAGAACACCCGUGGCUAAGGCGGCUCUCUAGUACGGUACUGACGCUGAGACGGCGAAAGCGUGGGGAGCAAACAGG